UACGUAGGGUGCAAGCGUUGUCCGGAUUUAUUGGGCGUAAAGAGCUCGUAGGCGGUCUGUCGCGUCGGAUGUGAAAACCCCAGGGCUCAACCCUGGGCCUGCAUUCGAUACGGGCAGACUAGAGUGUGGCAGGGGAGACUGGAAUUCCUGGUGUAGCGGUGAAAUGCGCAGAUAUCAGGAGGAACACCGGUGGCGAAGGCGGGUCUCGUGGGCCAAUACUGACGCUGAGGAGCGAAAGCGUGGGGAGCGAACAGG
rnacentral:rRNA from 1 species